CGCGUAGGCGGCCUGUUAAGUCGAACGUGAAAUCCCCGGGCUCAACCCGGGGACUGCGUCCGAUACUGGCAGGCUUGAAUCCGGGAGAGGGAUGUGGAAUUCCAGGUGUAGCGGUGAAAUGCGUAGAUAUCUGGAGGAACACCGGUGGCGAAGGCGGCAUCCUGGACCGGUAUUGACGCUGAGGCGCGAAAGCCAGGGGAGCAAACG
rnacentral:rRNA from 1 species